rnacentral:rRNA from 1 species
AGAUAAGGCAUCGUGGCGUCUUGGAUACACCCAAUCCCUCGAUCUUGGAAGUUAAGCAAUGCAUAGUCCGGUCAGUUCUUGGAUGGGAGACCAACCAAGGACAACCAGAUGCUGUAGCCU